AUGGCACACACACACACACACACACACACGCACACGCACACUCAUAGAGACACACACUCACCCCAAGCAGAUGCACUCACCACACUCGCCCCAGGCGCACACUUACUGAUGUCCACAGAUACACAAAGACACAGAAACACACACUGCAGACACACACACACACACUCACGCACACUUAAUCUCCCAGACACACUCGUACACACCACUCUGACGUGCUCAGACACACACACACUCACACACACACUUGCAGUCUCCCAUCAGGGGAAGCCACCGCGCCUGGGGCCAGGAAGCAUUCCAGGAGCCUUUGCCCUGAACCCAGACAGGACAAUCACCAAGUCCCCACACAACCGGGCCGUGCCACCGACAGACCCAGGCUGCUCUGGGUUGUUUUUUUGUUUUUGUUUUUUUUCUGUUUUAAUCGAUCUGCUGACACAACACUCGGCUCCCCCCUUGGUGCCGGGAGAGGCUGCGGCGGCUCCGGGACGGCGGGGAGGGAGGCGCCGCCCGGGGUGUCGCCCGGCGGGCUCCCUGGGAGAGGCGCAGCCGCCAGGGCGGGGGAGCCCCGAGGGGGCCAGGAGGGCCGCGCCGAAGAUCCGGGACCCGACUGGCGGGAAAAGCGAAACUAAGUUCGCCGAGCGGGGUCGCGCUGCCCCCGGGUGGGAGGGGCAGGUCGGCGCCCCCGCCUCGGCCCGGGGACCGUCGCGGGAACUGGGGCCUCGGCGCCCGGGCACCUGGGAAUCGGCGGGGGUCCCUCCCCGCGUCUGCAGGCAGCCGAGCUUCCACCCCCGGCGCCACGGUGUCCGCGCCGCCAGGACCCCCGCCCCGCCUGGCCCCGCCGGUGGGACCCCUGGACGCCGCGACCCGCGCCCGCACCCGCGCCCGCACCCGCGCUGGGCGGCGCCCGGCCCCCGCGCCCGGGACCUGCGGGAGGGAGGGGUUCCCCGCGGCCCCUCACCCACCAGGGCCCCAGCGCGCAGCCCCGCGCCCGCCAGCCGCUCCCCGAGGGCCACGGUCCCCGCGCCCACCCCGCGCGGACCCCACCCCGCGCCCCGCCCGUGCCCGCUGCCUACCGCGCCUGGGAGGCCGCCGCCGCCGCCGCCGCUCUUGGGGCCGAGGAGGCCGCGCCCGCCCGCCGCGGGGAGAGGAGCGAACUCGUCUCCUCCCGCGGCCCCGGCGCCAGCGCCUGGAGCCUCGUUCCGGCUGCGAGCGCGCGGGGAGCCCGAGCGCGACUUCUGUGCGAAGAAGAAAAAGCAGGCGAAGGCUUUAAAGUGCUGCGCGGGGAGCGCGCUGGGGGCGGGGCCGGCGCCCCGGGAGCCCCGCCCGCCCCGCCCCGCCCCGCCCCGCCCCGCCCCUCGGCCGGGCUCCCGCUCCCGCUCCCGCUCCCGCUCCCGCUCCCGCUCCGCCGCGCUGUGCGCUGUGCGCUGCGGGGGGGCGGCGGGGCAUCCCGUGCCGGGCGCCCCCUCGGCCGCCCCCCGCCCCCCCCGGCCGCUGCGGCGCGCGGGGAGGCACCGGAGCGUGCGUCCCUCCGGAGGCGUCUUUGGGAAACGCCGGGCAGCCUCCACCGGGCGAGAGGCCGGGGUGCAACACCCGCGGGGCCGCGGCCGGCCGGGGGAGGGGCUUACUAAUAAUAAUUUUUAA
rnacentral:lncRNA from 1 species